GAUGAACGCUGGCGGCGUGCCUAAUACAUGCAAGUCGAGCGGACAGAUGAGGAGUUUGCUCCUCUGACGUUAGCGGCGGACGGGUGAGUAACACGUGUAUAACCUACUUAAAAGUCUGGGAUAACUACGGGAAACCGGCGCUAAUCCGGGAGAAUAUAUUGAACCGCAUGGUUCAAUAGUGAAUGACGGUUUUUCUGUCACUUAUAGAUGGUUCCCCGCCGCAUUAGGUAGUUGGGCAGGUAAAGGCGUACCACGGCAAGGAUGCGUAGCCGACCGGACAGAGGGAUCGGCCACACUGGAACUGAGACACGCACCAGACUCCUACGGGAGGCAGCAGUAGCGAAUCUUCCGCAAAGGGCGGAAGCCUGACGGAACAACGCCGCGUGAGUGAUGAAGGUCUUCGGAUCGUAAAACUCUGUUAUUAGGGAAGAACAAAUGUGUAAGUAACUAUGCACGUCUUGACGGUACCUAAUCAGAAAGCCACGGCUAACUACGUG
rnacentral:rRNA from 1 species